AUACGUAGGUGACAAGCGUUAUCCGGAUUUACUGGGUGUAAAGGGCGCGUAGGCGGGAUGGCAAGUCAGAUGUGAAAUCUCCGGGCUCGACCCGGAAACUGCAUUUGAAACUGUCGUUCUUGAGUAUCGGAGAGGCAAGCGGAAUUCCUAGUGUAGCGGUGAAAUGCGUAGAUAUUAGGAGGAACACCAGUGGCGAAGGCGACUUACUGGGCCGUAACUGACGCUGAGGCGCGAAAGCGUGGGGAGCGAACAGGAUUAGAUACCCUGGUAGUCCACACUGUAAACGAUGAAUGCUAGGUGUAAGAGGUAUCGACCCCUUUUGUGCCGGAGUCAACACAAUAAGCAUUCCGCCUGGGGAGUACGGCCGCAAGGUUGAAACUCAAAUGAAUUGGCGGGG
rnacentral:rRNA from 1 species